GAUGAACGCUGGCGGCGUGCUUAACACAUGCAAGUCGAACGAUGAAAGCGGGAGCUUGCUCCUGCUGGAUUAGUGGCGAACGGGUGAGUAACACGUGAGCAAUCUGCCCCGAACUCUGGGAUAAGCGUUGGAAACGACGUCUAAUACCGGAUACGACGCGCGAAGGCAUCUUCUGCGCGUGGAAAGAACUUCGGUUCGGGAUGAGCUCGCGGUCUAUCAGCCAGUUGGUGAGGUAACGGCCCACCAAGGCGACGACGGGUAGCCGGCCUGAGAGGGUGACCGGCCACACUGGGACUGAGACACGGCCCAGACUCCUACGGGAGGCAGCAGUGGGGAAUAUUGCACAAUGGGCGCAAGCCUGAUGCAGCAACGCCGCGUGAGGGACGACGGCCUUCGGGUUGUAAACCUCUUUUAGUAGGGAAGAAGCGAAAGUGACGGUACCUGCAGAAAAAGCACCGGCUAACUACGUGCCAGCCGCCGCAGUAAGAC
rnacentral:rRNA from 1 species